UAAUUUUUUUGAACUCUCUUCUCUACUCUGCUAGACAUUCAUUCCUCACAUCACACUCUCUUCUCUUCUCCUCCACCCACGUUUUGGGAAACCAGAAGAGACCACCCGUGUUUCUCCUCCACCCACGUCGCUGGCCAAGAAACACGAAGGCAGAGUGCAGGCCAUUCAUGACGUCUCCUUUCUCCACCACCGUGACAUCCACCACGUCGCUGGCAGGGCAGCAGCGAGAGAAUGCAGCGCCGUGCACGGAGAACGUAGAGCCACCACCAGACUGCGAUUCAUAGACGAUUCCGACCACCACGACCACUACGAAGACAAGUUUGUUUAAGGAUGGCGAGGUGUGAAGGGGUUUUGGAGUGGAAGAAGAAGUAGUGAUGGUGAAUUCACAACGUAUAGUCACUAGUGGUACAACUAGUCGUCGGUGCCUUUGCAAAUUGCAAACAUUAAACAACUGAAAUAAUCUCUUCUAUGAAUAUGAGUUUUGCUUGUCUCCUUUUUGAAACGAGAAUUUCACCAUGACUUGUAAUUUUAAGUUGUUUUUGAUAGACUAUUCUAUUAAUGCAGUAUAGUCACUAGUGGUACAUUUAUAUAUUGUAGGGUUAUUUGUUUUGUGAUCAGUUAUAUUAUAUAUUGCAAGGUUGUUUUUGU